UACGUAGGGUCCGAGCGUUGUCCGGAAUUAUUGGGCGUAAAGGGCUCGUAGGCGGUCUGUUGCGUCGGGAGUGAAAAUUCACAGCUUAACUGUGAACUUGCUUCCGAUACGGGCAGACUUGAGGUAUUCAGGGGAGAACGGAAUUCCUGGUGUAGCGGUGAAAUGCGCAGAUAUCAGGAAGAACACCCGUGGCUAAGGCGGUUCUCUAGUACGGUACUGACGCUGAGACGCGAAAGCGUGGGGAGCGAACAGG
rnacentral:rRNA from 1 species